rnacentral:rRNA from 1 species
GACGAACGCUGGCGGCGUGCCUAAUACAUGCAAGUCGAGCGCAGGAAGCUGACGGAACUCUUCGGAGGGAAGGCAGUGGAAUGAGCGGCGGACGGGUGAGUAACACGUAAGGAACCUGCCUCAAGGAUUGGGAUAACUCCGAUAAAUCGGAGCUAAUACCGGAUAGUUCAACGGACCGCAUGGUCCGCCGAUGAAAGGCGCUUCGGCGUCACCUUGAGAUGGCCUUGCGGUGCAUUAGCUAGUUGGUGGGGUAACGGCCCACCAAGGCGACGAUGCAUAGCCGACCUGAGAGGGUGAUCGGCCACACUGGGACUGAGACACGGCCCAGACUCCUACGGGAGGCAGCAGUAGGGAAUCUUCCACAAUGGACGAAAGUCUGAUGGAGCAACGCCGCGUGAGUGAUGAAGGUUUUCGGAUCGUAAAACUCUGUUGUAAGGGAAGAACACGUACGAGAGGGAAUGCUCGUACCUUGACGGUACCUUACGAGAAAGCCACGGCUAACUACGUGCCAGCAGCCGCAGUAACAC